rnacentral:lncRNA from 1 species
GCACACAGCUUCCUACUGCCCCCUGGUGGGGUGAUGCUGAACUAUGCUCAGAAACGUUCCAUCAACCUUAGGGUCAAUCUCAAACAUGAUCUUGGCUUCCACAGUGACACCUUCAAGAAAGGCUGCUGAGUUUAAAGUUAAAAUUCUCCUUGACUUUCUGUCCCAUUUCUCCAAAGCUUGACCUGGGUGGUAGAAAGAAAGGUAAACUGCUUAAAAGGGGGAUGUUAGGACUCCAUCCAGAGAACCCAACAACCUCGAUAGUCCCAUGGAUAAAGUGGUGUCGGGCUGCGGGACUGUCCUGGGACCUAAAAUCAGCACCAAGGAGAUUUCCUCUACAUCAGAUGUCCCUGGUCCUCAGCUACCUAACCCCCAACCCUCAAACUCCCACACAUCCACACCCCAACCCAAGUGUAAAAUGCCAACUGAAAGAUUAUUGAGGUCAUUUUCAGCUUCGAUAGUCAUCAACUUGUGGCUUAGAAACCAAGAAAGGCUUGUCAAUGUGAGGGUGUUUCUAAACCAGGUCAGGAACACACCACAGUCAUGACCAGGUUAGACCAAAGAUGACUCUAUAUAACUCAGAUUCUCCUCUUUCCCUCUAGGGAUCCCCAGAUCUGCUCAUGAGCUAGAGUAGCCACUAGGCCUUGGCACUCGCUCCCAUCCAUUGCAUCAGGAGAAGUGGGAAGGCCUGCAACCUCAGGACCGUUUCUCUGUUCUCCCGAAUGUUUAGGAGCCUGAACUGAGACUUAGACACACUUAGAAGACUCAUCCCAAUUCAGCAUCUCUUACAAAAGGUGGACUAUAGGCUAGGCGUAGUUGCUCAUGCCUGUAAUCCCAGCACUUUGGGAGGCUGAGGCACGUGGAUUACUUGAGGUCGGGAGUUCAAGACCAGCCUGGCCAACAUGGUGAAACCCUGACUCCACUAAAAAUACAAAUGUAUUUUUGAUGAAAGUACAAAAAUUGGCCUGACGUCGUGGCAUGCACUUGUAAUCCCAGCUACUUGGGAGGCUGAAGUAGGAGAAUCCCUUGAACCCAGGAGGCAAAGGUUACAGUGAGCUGAGAUUGUGUCACUAAACUCCAGCCUAGGGGACAGAGUGAGACUCUGUUUCAAACAACAACAACAACAACAACAAAAACAGAAAACACGAAAACAAAAACAAAAACAAAAAGUGUGGACUACAGAGAGCCAAACUCUUGGACUCUGGGAAAUCUGAAAGAGUUGGCUAGUCUCCUAGAUAUCUUCCCUGGAGCUUCUGAAGGUAUUGACUGCUCCUGGUUAGGAUGAGGGGACUAAGCAAUAGCCUAGAACAAGAGAGGAGAGAAGACCAUGAAAGUCCACGAGAUUUGCUAUUUAGUCAACUUAUACCAGUGGGGAUAAAAAGGAAGCUAUCAGGCUGGGCGCAGUGGCUCACGCCUGUAGUCCAAGCACUUUGGAAGGCCAAGUCGGGGGGAUCACUUGAGGUCAGGAGUUUGAGACCAGCCUGGUAAACAUGGUGAAACCCCAUCUCUACUAAAAAUACAAAAAUUAGCCGGGCGUGGUGGCAGACGCUGUAAUCCCAUGUACUUGGGAGGCUGAGGCAGGAGAAUUGCUUGAAUCCAGGAGGCAGAGGUUGCAAUGAGCUGAGAUCACACCACUGCACUCAAGCCUGGGCAACAGAGUAAGACUCCAUCUCAAGAAAAAAAAAAAAAAGGAAGCUAUCAGAGUACCUUUAUUCAUGGGGAGAAGCGACUGCAAGUGGCUCAUAAAUGACAUAUAAGCAAAGAAGAAUGAAGUAAAGCUGGCGGUGGUAUCACUUAUUCCAUUGUCCCACAGUGUUGGUUCAGUUGAUCUGGCUGGUUGGGGGAGUUUGGUCCUUCUUCCUCCUGCCACCCUCACACUCCGUUUGUGUCCCUCCUAGAGUUGCAAGCUCAGUGGAGGAGGAUAAAUAGUGUGACUCUGUCACAACCCAGAAACUCUCCUGGUACAUUUGUAGGGGCCAACAGGGAUACCAGCUUGACAGUGUUAGGGGCCCUGUGUCAAAUCAGGGCCUGACCUCGAAGGUUCCUUUUAGACCAUUGGCUGGGAUGUGUUCCUUCUUAUCCCACCAUGAGGGCUUCCAAAAAAAAUAAAAAAUAAAAAAAAUAAAAA